UAUAACAAAAUAUAAAUAGGUAUUAUAAUGAAUUCAUUGUCGGUGACAAGCUUCGUGACAAGCCGUAUUUUGGCAUUCUCCUUUGACAUUCAAUAUAAAUACAAUAACAGUACAAAACAUUUAAACUUUGUAUCCAUUAUUAUAUUAUUAAUUAGGUGUCUUGGUUGCAUCAAGAUGCCAUGUACACAUUCUCCAGACUGUGAUAAGGUUCCUGAAAGUAAAAGAGCAUUUUUAAAAUGUGAAACACGCGGUGGCAACGACAGCGCCAGCGUUGGUACCGGCAGCCACCACAGCAGUAGAAGUGGCGGCCGUAUAGGUUGCAGCUGGAAACUUUGUAGGAAAAUUUUAAUCGGAGUGCCGUUGUUCCUAUGUUUGGUUUUGAUAAUUGUUAUUGUAUGUUGCAUAAUAUACAUAUUAACUGACCCUCAUAUGAGAAUGGACCUCAAGAUAACAGCACGAUCAUUUGCAAAAGACAUGCGUAAUAAAACCAAACACAUGUUUUCUCCUCCCGAAUAAAGUAAAAAACCUUCAGACCCUGUUGCCUGUUGCAAAUUCUAAAUUCAAUGAAAUAAGGUUCAAAAGAACUUAAUUUGUAUUAAAAUCCUUUAUGGUACUUUAUUUUGAUACCACCGAUGCCGUGGCAUACCGCGGUAUCGUGUUAUCAAAAUAAAGUAACAUAAAUUCUAAAUUCAUUGAAAUAAGGUUCAAAAUAACUAAAUUUGUAUUAAAAUCCUUGGCCGUGCCAUGCCGUGCCGUGCCGGCAGUGGGCGCCGGCCCUUAACCACUCUGUCAAGAUUGAUACUGCUGAGAAAUAGCUAUUUUGUAAGUUUCGGUUUUCUUGCCACAAAAAUAUUCUUAUACAAGGUAUGUUAUUUAAAUUAAUUAAAGAUGUAAUUUUUUUCGAACGAAACGAAAAUAUAUUUUAUAUUAGCACUAGGCAAUAUCUUUGGAUUCAUUUUAGUUAUAAGGUAUUACGACAACACACACGUUUAGUAUAAUUUUUAUUUAACAUAAGGAAUAACAGAACAUUGCCAAACGUUAAAAGUAAUAAAUGUGAUAUAUUAUUGAAUAGUGAGAAAUUAGAAUUUGUAAAAGAGACUACUUUCCUGAGAAUCACUGUAGACGACAAAUUGGAAUGGGGUCCUCACAUUACAUCUCUAGCGGGAAGAUUAAGCUCUGCAGCUUAUGCUGUCUGGAAAAUCCGACAGUUUACCGACAUAGACACGGCAAGACUAGUGUACUUCAGUUACUUCCAUAGCAUCAUGUCGUAUGGCAUUUUGCUGUGGGGACAGGCUGCUGACAUUGAGUCUAUUUUUACUUUACCAAAGCGCGCCGUCAGAGCUAUAAUAUACAAUCUUGGUCGUCGCGAAUCUCUCAGGGAAAAGUUUAAGGAGAUCAAUAUUAUGACCGUACCAUGUCAAUUUAUCUAUGAAAAUAUCACAGAACAGAGAAAAAUAAGUAGAAGUAGUGUGUAGGCGGGGCACGCGUAGCCCCUGAUAAGUACAGAUAUGCUUAUGUUCGUCAUUUAGACGUUUGUACGCAUAUCAGUCUUCGUUGGACUGUAAUAACGUCAACUAGACUUGGAAAAUAGCGUCAAAAAUCGAAAAAAACAUAAAAAUGACGAAAUGUGCUAUUUUAUAGUCAAAAGAUGAAAGCCAUGACAAAAAUGUGCCUAGUAGUGGUAUAUCGUAUCAUCGAUUUCCGAAGGAUCCAGAAAUAAAAGGAAAAUGGAUCGAGAUGACUGGAAGACAAAAUUGGUUUCCUGCCACUAACUAGUACAAUUUGUUUGGACCAUGUUGUACAACAAGAUAUUAUAUUAUGAGUAUAACUGAAAAAAAUGCGCAAUUUUUUACUAUAAAUAAUCAAUAAAAUUUCCAGAUUGCGCAGGCAGAAAUACCUAAUCACGUUAUAUAAUAUUGGCCACCAACUGAAGGGAAGUAACUUUGUUUAAUGUUCAGUUUUAUUUUCUAUUUUUUGUUACUUACGACUGUAAUAAAAAAAUAAUUUAUAUAUAAAGUGUGAUUUUUUAUUUUUGCAAUACAAAUUUUGUUAGAAUACUACGAACGGCAUGUGACUCUUUCCGAGUUAUAUGUACUUAACUAAGACCAUUAAGACACCACUGACAAAUGGUGAAGGAAAACAUCGUGAGGAAACCUGGGCUUAUUAUUUUCUAAUUACCUAUUAUAAGUUUGAAAUCGACAACCCACAUUUGGCAAGCAUGGUGAUCAAUGCUCAAACUUUCUCCGUGCGUGAAGAGGCCUUUGGUCAGCAGUGGCCACGUUUAGGCUAUUGAUGAUGAUGAUAGAUAGAUAGAUACUACUACUUUUUCAGUCCAGUUUCAGUUUGCUGCGCCCGAUGUGACUUGAAACUAGUACAGUGAUAAACUAAUGUAGAAAAGUCUACAUUAGUUUAUCAGAGGACGCUGCUUACUUCAAAUACAUAUAUACUUAUUUUAUUAUUCUGUAUACUAAUAAAUCUAAAUCCUUCAACUAUUAUCUCUUUAAAAUUAUAGUUUAGAAAAGAAAAACAUAUAUAUUUACAGUUUUACAAGGAAAGAUGUUUAUUUCUAUAGAAAGAUAAAAUAUUAUAAUGUAUACGAGUAUUAAAAUGUGUUGAACAUUUUAAUUAUAUCGAUAAGUAAGCUUUCGAUAUCAGAACAUUACUAGAGAAAAUACAAGCGAUAAAGUAGCUAGUUAAACAAAUGUCAACCUUAACAUGAUAGCAAUACAGCGUAAUUGAAUGCAUUUAUGAUAGUGACAUCUAGCGUCGAGUAGCAGAACUUGUUUUUGAAAUUAUGUUGCAUUGAAAAAGAAGAUUCUUUAUUUUAAAAUUAGUAGACAAAAGUCAACUCUAUUAAUAUGUAAUUAAUGUGUUUUUUCAAAGUGGUGACGGCUGAUUUAAAGGCUAUUUAACACGGACCAGUCACAGAAAGAUUUUGCUAGUGUGACAUAUUAUGAUUAUCCUGGAGAUGUGUUAAUUUGGGCGUGGCUUCAGAAAAAUUGCCACGCUGGUUCUGAUACUAACACAAGCGGUAUACUAUUUCUAUCUCUUCUUCUCUAUUCUGU